GUGAACGCUGGCGGUAGGCCUAACCCCUGCCAGUCGAACGGCAGCACAGUAAGAGCUUGCUCUUACGGGUGGCGAGUGGCGGACGGGUGAGGAAUACAUCGGAAUCUACUUUUUCGUGGGGGAUAACGUAGGGAAACUUACGCUAAUACCGCAUACGACCUACGGGUGAAAGCAGGGGAUCUUCGGACCUUGCGCGAUUGAAUGAGCCGAUGUCGGAUUAGCUAGUUGGCGGGGUAAAGGCCCACCAAGGCGACGAUCCGUAGCUGGUCUGAGAGGAUGAUCAGCCACACUGGAACUGAGACACGGUCCAGACUCCUACGGGAGGCAGCAGUGGGGAAUAUUGGACAAUGGGCGCAAGCCUGAUCCAGCCAUACCGCGUGGGUGAAGAAGGCCUUCGGGUUGUAAAGCCCUUUUGUUGGGAAAGAAAAGCAGCAGGUUAAUACCCCGCUGUUCUGACGGUACCCAAAGAAUAAGCACCGGCUAACUUCGUG
rnacentral:rRNA from 1 species